ACUCAGAGAAUAUGGGUAUGAUUGUCUUUAAUUGCAUAUACUUGUGAUAGCAUUUAUUCAGCAAACAUUUGCACAAAACACCUUCCAAACAGUAGCUACAUCCUUUUAUGUUAAUGUACAGUAGUGUUGUAGAGUCAGAUCUAAUUAGGAGGAGGGCACUUAGUGUGUGCUAUUACAAGUGCAUUCUAUUACCAAUAUUGAUGAUAAAAGAGAACAGGGCUAGAGAAAGCACCAAAACAAGUGAUUUUAAAUUACCCUCUCCAUUCCAGGCUCAACUUUCAUUCAAGUGAUUUUACUGACAGGCUGGUAUUUCUAAAACCACUGUGUUGAUGAGAGCUCUGGCCUGCAGAGCAGGGUAGCCCACAGCUCCCCUCUUCUCAGCUGUGUGCCCACGCUUCAGAUAUGGUCCAUAAACAAGGAGCAGGAACCAGACGAGCUGUAAGGUCUCUUUACGACUCAAAAUCAGAUUCUCUUUUUUAACAGAAACAUUAAUAGUAUUAUAAAAUGAAGAAAAACGAACCUAAGAGAAAUGAGAGGAACGCUGUGCGUAAGAGAAUGAGCUUGGAAAUAAAGACUAGUUUCAAAUUCCACUUCCUUGUGAUUUUUUUUUUUUUUUUUUGGAAAAUCACAUAACCUCUCAGGCCUCAGUUACCUCAUCUCUAACGUGGAAACAAGUCCAUCUUCCACUCAGGACUGUUUUGCAAAUUAAAUGAGAAUGCAUGUAAAUUCCAGGGCAUGGGUUUGGAAUUAUCAGUAAAUGCCUAAUAAAUACUGGUUGUUAUUACCUAUGAGUAUUCCAUAAACUGUCCAAUUACUUCUUGACCUAAGUUUAAAAAACUAGUUAUAGAUGAUAAUAAAAUGAUCUUAAAAGCUUAUUAAGUAGGGUAUUAUUGCAAGAAUCACGGGGGUCAUUUUUGAAAGAAUUUGAAUAUCCAAACAUUUCUUAGAACUGGAUUGGGAACAACCUGUAAAGAGAAUGUGACUGAUGGUACUUCACACCCAAUGUGAAGGGCAUGAAUCUGUCUGGUCUUCGUUGAGUGAGCUCGGCAGAGGCAGCUUCCUGGAGGCUGACACCCUUGAGGGAAGGGCUGUCUUACACUUCUUCCUCCUCCCAGAUUUGUAGACUUCACCGCAGUCUUGGUGAUCUGUUGAUGCUGAGAUUUAGCAAUGGGAUUUAUGAGUUGCUGUGGAACUGUAGUCUUCUCUGGCAAAGUUCCUAACUCUUACCAGCAAGCACAGAAGGAAAGUAAAAAAGCUUUUUAAGAAAAGAAAUGUUUACGAUAGAACUGAACAUCAGUACGUGUGCUCUCUUCCCAACAGCAGGUGUCAAGAGGAGGAGAUGGACAUCUCAAACAUCUCAGGAAGGCAGUAAUUCCCAGACUUUUGAUAUCACAGACUAGUAAAAUUUCAAAAGAAUACUGUCAUAAAAUUGCCAGAUUUUAGAAGAAAUAAUACCAAAGACAAACCAUCACCAGUCUUUCAUAACAUAUCAAAGUAAGCAAGAUAUCCCAACCAAGAUUUUUUUAAAAAUCCUUUCAACCGAAUAAACUUAGCACUAAAAUUAAAACUGAAAAGCCUGCUGCACUGUCUUUAUUCUUAUUUUUCCACAGGCAGGUGUA
rnacentral:lncRNA from 1 species